UACGGGGGGGGCAAGCGUUGUUCGGAAUUACUGGGCGUAAAGGGCGCGUAGGCGGUCUGUUAAGUCGGAUGUGAAAACUCUGGGCUCAACCCAGAGCCUGCAUCCGAAACUGGCAGGCUAGAGUUCUGGAGGGGGUAGCGGAAUUCCUGGUGUAGCGGUGAAAUGCGUAGAUAUCAGGAGGAACACCUAUAGCGAAGGCAGCUCGCUGGGACGUUACUGACGCUGAGGCGCGAAGCGUGGGGAGCGAACAGG
rnacentral:rRNA from 1 species